rnacentral:rRNA from 1 species
AGCAGCCGCGGUAAUUCCAGCUCCAAUAGCGUAUAUUAAAGUUGUUGCAGUUAAAAAGCUCGUAGUUGAAUUUCGGGAUUAGUACGUUGGUCGUGCCUUCGGUACGUACUGGUGUUACUGAUUCCUACCUUCUGACGAACCAUCAUGUCAUUAAUUUGGUGUGGUGGGGAAUCAGGACUGUUACUUUGAAAAAAUUAGAGUGUUUAAAGCAGGCUCGCGCUUGAAUACAUUAGCAUAGAAUAAUGAAAUAGGACGUUGACCCUAUUUUGUUGGUUUCUAGGAUUGACGUAAUGAUUAAUAGGGAUAGUUGGGGGCAUUAGUAUUCAAUUGUCAGAGGUGAAAUUCUUGGAUUUAUUGAAGACUAACUACUGCGAAAGCAUUUGCCAAGGAUGUUUUCAUUAAUCAAGAACGAAAGUUAGGGGAUCGAAGACGAUCAGAUACCGUCGUAGUCUUAACCAUAAACUAUGCCGACUAGGGAUCGGAUGAUGUUAUUUUUAAUGACUCAUUCGGCGCCUUACG